rnacentral:rRNA from 1 species
GACGAACGCUGGCGGCGUGCCUAAUACAUGCAAGUUGAGCGCUGAAGGUUGGUACUUGUACCAACUGGACGAGCAGCGAACGGGUGAGUAACGCGUGGGGAAUCUGCCUUUGAGCGGGGGACAACAUUUGGAAACGAAUGCUAAUACCGCAUAAAAACUUUAAACACAAGUUUUAAGUUUGAAAGAUGCAAUUGCAUCACUCAAAGAUGAUCCCGCGUUGUAUUAGCUAGUUGGUGAGGUAAAGGCUCACCAAGGCGAUGAUACAUAGCCGACCUGAGAGGGUGAUCGGCCGCAUUGGGACUGAGACACGGCCCAAACUCCUACGGGAGGCAGCAGUAGGGAAUCUUCGGCAAUGGACGAAAGUCUGACCGAGCAACGCCGCGUGAGUGAAGAAGGUUUUCGGAUCGUAAAACUCUGUUGGUAGAGAAGAACGUUGGUGAGAGUGGAAAGCUCAUCAAGUGACGGUAACUACCCAGAAAGGGACGGCUAACUACGUG